UACAGAGGGUGCAAGCGUUGUUCGGAAUUAUUGGGCGUAAAGCGCGUGUAGGCGGCUUUGCAAGUCGGGUGUGAAAGCCCUCAGCUCAACUGAGGAAGUGCGCCCGAAACUGCAGAGCUUGAGUGCCGGAGAGGGUGGCGGAAUUCCCCAAGUAGAGGUGAAGUUCGUAGAUAUGGGGAGGAACACCGGUGGCGAAGGCGGCCACCUGGACGGUAACUGACGCUGAGGUGCGAAAGCGUGGGGAGCAAACAGG
rnacentral:rRNA from 1 species